CCAUCUGGAAGAAUCUGGAGACAGGUGCUGCGUGGCUGUCGUCAGCUCGUGUCGUGAGAUGUUGGGUUAAGUCCCGCAACGAGCGCAACCCUUGCCUUUAGUUGCCAGCAGUUCGGCGUGGGCACUCUAAAGGGACUGCCGGUGUUAAACCGGAGGAAGGUGGGGACGACGUCAAGUCCUCAUGGCCUUUAUGACCAGGGCUACACACGUACUACAAUGGCCGAUACAAAGGGCAGCGACACUGCGAGGUGAAGCCAAUCCCGUAAAAUCGGUCUCAGUCCGGAUUGGAGUCUGCAACUCGACUCCAUGAAGUUGGAAUCGCUAGUAAUCGUGGAUCAGCAUGCCACGGUGAAUACGUUCCCGGGCCUU
rnacentral:rRNA from 1 species